rnacentral:misc_RNA from 1 species
AUCACCCCUCAAGCCCCGUGCUUGGUGUUGGAUGGCCGGUCGAGGUUCGCCCCGACCCCUCCUAAAGACAAUGACGGCGACCUGUGGUUCCCCCGGUACACUGAGCUUUUCGCAGAGCACGUACCGGACGAGGGCGCCCGGGUCACGGUCCCCUCCUCCUCGUGAGGAAAUAUUUUUCAAGG